rnacentral:rRNA from 1 species
AUUGAACGCUGGCGGCAUGCCUUACACAUGCAAGUCGAACGGUAACAGGUCUUCGGAUGCUGACGAGUGGCGAACGGGUGAGUAAUACAUCGGAACGUGCCCGAUCGUGGGGGAUAACGGAGCGAAAGCUUUGCUAAUACCGCAUACGAUCUACGGAUGAAAGCAGGGGACCGCAAGGCCUUGCGCGGACGGAGCGGCCGAUGGCAGAUUAGGUAGUUGGUGGGAUAAAAGCUUACCAAGCCGACGAUCUGUAGCUGGUCUGAGAGGACGACCAGCCACACUGGGACUGAGACACGGCCCAGACUCCUACGGGAGGCAGCAGUGGGGAAUUUUGGACAAUGGGCGCAAGCCUGAUCCAGCCAUGCCGCGUGCAGGAUGAAGGCCUUCGGGUUGUAAACUGCUUUUGUACGGAACGAAAAGACUCUUUCUAAUAAAGAGGGUCCAUGACGGUACCGUAAGAAUAAGCACCGGCUAACUACGUGCCAGCAGCCGCAGUAACAC